AAGCGGUCGAAUCGAAAACGGGUGGCGGUCGCGGGCAGUUUGAAUUGGCCUCUGUGCUCCAGCUCACGGAGGCUGGACAAGGACUCGCCUUUGAGAGGGGUUGUUUGCCCUCUCCCGCCAGCAAGUUUAUUUAUAAAUGUUUGAGUAAUAAAGAAAGGAGAGCAAAAUGAGCUGGGCUUUGGAAGAAUGGAAGGAAGGCCUGCCUACAAGAGCUCUUCAGAAGAUUCAAGAGCUUGAAGGCCAGCUCGACAAACUGAAGAAAGAAAGGCAGCAAAGGCAGUUUCAGCUUGAGACCCUGGAGGCUGCGUUGCAGAAGCAAAAACAGAAGAUUGAGAAUGAAAAAACUGAGGGUGCAAACCUGAAAAGGGAGAACCAAAGCUUGAUGGAAAUAUGUGAAAAUCUGGAGAAGACGAAGCAGAAGAUUUCUCAUGAACUUCAAGUCAAAGAGUCACAAGUGAAUUUCCAAGAAGGUCAACUGAACUCGAGCAAAAAGCAAAUAGAAAAGCUGGAACAGGAACUUAAAAGGUGUAAAUCUGAACUUGAAAGAAGCCAGCAAGCGGCACAAUCUGCGGAUGUCUCUCUGAAUUCAUGCCUUACACCACAGAAAAUUUUUGCAACUCCGCUCACACCAAGCCAGUAUUAUAGCGGUUCCAAAUAUGAAGAUCUAAAAGAGAAAUAUAAUAAAGAAGUUGAAGAACGAAAAAGAUUAGAGGCAGAGGUAAAAGCCUUGCAGGCAAAGAAAGCAAGCCAGGCUAUUCCCCAAAGCACCAUGAAUCACCGGGACAUCGCCCGACAUCAGGCUUCUUCAUCUGUGUUCUCAUGGCAACAAGAAAAAACCCCAAGCCGUCUUUCAUCUAACACUCUAAAAACUCCAGUUAGGAGAGAUUUCUCUGCAUCUCAUUUUUCUGGGGAACAAGAAGUGACUCCAAGUAGAUCAACUUUGCAAAUAGGGAAAACAGAUGCUAAUAGCAGUUUCUGUGAUAAUUCUAGCAAUUCUCAUCUUUUGGAUCAGUUAAAAGCACAGAACCAAGAACUAAGGAGCAAGAUUAGUGAGCUGGAACUACGUCUGCAAGGACAAGAAAAAGAAAUGAAAGGCCAAGUGAAUAAACUUCAAGAACUCCAACUCCAACUGGAGAAAGCAAAAGUGGAAUUAAACGAAAAAGAGAAAGUUUUGAACAAAACCCGGGAUGAACUAGUGAGAACAACUUCACAGUAUGACCAGGCCUCAACCAAGUGUACUGCUUUGGAACAAAAAUUGAAAAAAUUGACUGAAGAUCUUAGUUGUCAGCGUCAAAAUGCAGAAAGUGCCAGAUGUUCUCUGGAACAGAAAAUCAAGGAGAAAGAAAAAGAGUUCCAAGAGGAGCUCUCCCGUCAACAGCGUUCCUUCCAAACCCUGGACCAGGAGUGCACUCAGAUGAAAGCCAGGCUCACCCAGGAGCUACAGCAAGCUAAGAACACAUACAACAUCCUACAGGCUGAACUGGAUAAAGUCACGUCUGUAAAGCACCAGGUAGAAAAAAAAUUGGAAGAGUUUAAGCAAAAUCUCAGCAAAACUGAACAGGCCUUACAGGCAAGUCAGACCAAGGAAAAUGAGCUGAGGAGAAGCAGUGAGGAAAUGAAGAGGGAAAACAGCCUCCUCAAGAGUCAGUCUGAGCAGAGGGCCCGAGAAGUCUGCCACCUGGAGGAGGAACUGAAGAAGGCCAAGCAGUGUUUGAGUCAGAGCCAGAAUUUUGCGGAAGAAAUGAAGGCUAAGAACACCUCUCAGGAAACCAUGUUAAGAGAUCUUCAAGAAAAGAUAAAUCAGCAAGAGAAUUCCUUGACUUUAGAGAAACUGAAGCUUGCCUUGGCUGACCUGGAAAAGCAGCGAGAUUGUUCUCAAGACCUAUUAAAGAAAAGGGAACACCACAUUGAACAACUGAACGAAAAGUUAAGCAAAACAGAGAGAGAAUCUGAAGCAUUGUUGAGCGCUUUGGAAUUAAAGAAGAAAGAAUAUGAAGAAUUGAAAGAAGAGAAAACUCUGUUUUCUCGCUGGAAAAGGGAAAACGAACAACUUUUAAAUCAGAUGGAAUCAGAAAAGGAAAGCUUGCAGAGUAAAGUUAAUCACUUGGAAACUUGUCUUAAGACACAGCAAAUAAAAAGUCACGAAUAUAACGAGAGGGUAAGAACCCUGGAGAUGGAAAGAGAAAAUCUAAACGUGGAGAUCAGGAACCUUCAAAAUGUGAUCGACAGCAAGACCGCAGAGGCAGAGACACAGAAACGCGCUUAUGGAGAACUGCAACAGAAAGCUGAGUUCUCAGAUCAGAAACACGAGAAGGAGAUAGAAAACAUGUGUUUGAAAAUCUCUCACCUCACCGGGCAAGUGGAAGACCUAGAACAUAAGCUUCAGUUACUGUCAAGUGAAAUCAUGGACAAAGACCAGCGUUACCAAGACUUGCAUGCUGAAUAUGAGAGUCUCAGGGAUCUGCUAAAAUCCAGAGAUUCCUCUGCAGUGACAGUUGAGCCUCAUCAGAGAAGUCGUUUGGCUUUUGAACAGCAGUCUGCACUGAACAAUUCCUUUGCAAGUAUAAUUGGAGAGCAAGAAAGCGUGUCUUCAGAAAGGAGUGGAUGCCAUGUAGCAACAGACCAAAGUCCGGAAAGUUCAUCCAUGUUGCAAAAUAGAGUCGUUUCUCUUGAAUUUUCCUUAGAGUCGCAAAAGCAGAUGAACUCAGAUCUGCAGAAGCAGUGUGAAGAGUUGGUGCAAAUCAAAGGAGAAAUUGAAGAAAACCUCAUGAAAGCAGAACAGAUGCAUCAAAGUUUUGUGGCUGAAACAAGUCAACGCAUUAGUAAGUUACAAGAAGACACUUCUGUUCAUCAGAAUGUUGUUACUGAAACUUUAGCUGCCCUGGAGAGCAAGGAAAGAGAGUUGCAAUUUUUGAAUGAAAAAUUAGAAACUGAGCAGGCAGAGAUUGGAGAGUUAAAAAAGAACAACCAUUUACUUCAGGAAUCUCUAAAGGAGCUACAGUUUUUGUCUGAAACCCUGAGCUUGGAGAAAAAGGAACUGAAUUCCAUCAUUUCUCUAAAUAAAAAGGACAUUGAAGGGUUGACCCAAGAGAAUGGGACUCUCAAGGAAAUUAAUGCCACCUUAACUCGAGAGAAGAUGAACUUGCUCCAAAAAACUGAGAGUUUUUCAAACUGUAUAGAUGAAAGAGAUAAAAGCAUUUCAGAGUUAUCUAAUCAGUACAAACAAGAAAGGCUUACUUUACUACAAAGAUGUGAAGAAACAGGAAAUGCAUUUCAGGAUCUGAGUGAAAAAUAUAAAGCAGUUCAGGAAAAGAACUCUAAAUUAGAAUGCUUGCUGAGUGAGUGCACGGGUGUUUGUGAAGACAGAAAAAAUGAAUUAGGACAGCUAAAGGAAACAUUUGCAAGGGAACACCAAGCAUUUGUAUCGCAGUUAGCAUCAGCUGAAGACAGAAACCAGAAUUUAAUUCUGGAGUUGGAGACGGUGCAGCAAGCCCUGCAGUCUGAGAUUACAGAUAUCCAAAACAGCUCCAAGAGGGAGGCUGAUGGUUUAAAGCAAGAAAUCAUGAAGUUAAAGGAAGAGCAAAAUAAGAUGCAGCAGGAAGUUAAUGCCUUAUUACAAGAGAAUGAGCACCUGAUGGAAUUAAUGAGGACAAAACAUGAACAUCAAUGUCUAGAAUUGGAACCAAUUCAAGACUCUGAGAAAGAAGGAGAGAGGGAGAUAAACACAUGUCAUGUUCAACUUCCGAUGGAUCUUGAUGUUAAAGAUUCUUCUCUAGACACUUACAAAGCACAGCUGGUGCAAGUAGAAUCUGAAGUCAGAAACAUGGAAUUAAGACUUCAGAAGAGUGAGAAGGAAGAGUGUCUACAGCACGAAUUACCAGCUAGAGAAUUAGAAACUGAAGAUUUGCAACAAGAUACUCAGUCACAAGAUAUUAGUAGCCUUGGAGACUCUGAAAUAGAUCGAGAAGAAAAAUAUAUUUCGGUGCUUCAUGAGUUGUCAACAAGUCAGCAGGACAAUGCCCACCUGCAGUGCUCUCUACAGACAGCCAUGAACAAGCUGAAUGAGUUAGAGAAAAUGUGUGAAGCCCUGCAGGUUGAAAAGUCUGAACUCAUAUCUGAGCUGAAUGACUCAAGAUCAGAAUGUAUCACAGCAACUAGUAAAAUGGCGGAAGAGGUAGGGAAACUAGUAAAGGAAGUUGAAACAUUAAAUGAUGAGAAUGGACUUCUCCAAGGUGAGUCAGUGGAAGAAACACCAGAAGGUGAAUUUGGUGUACAACAAGAUGAGCAGACAUCUGUGAACUUAAAUCCUUUGGAUGACUGUAAUUUCUAUGAGCAUUUGACCAUGUCAAACAAAGAGGUUCAAAUGCACUUCGCUGAAUUACAGGAGAAAUUUUCAUCUUUACAGAGUGAACACAAAAUUUUACAUGAACAGCACUGUCUGAUGAGCUCCAAGAUGUCAGAGCUGCAGUCUUACGUUGACACAUUAAAGGCUGAAAAUUCAGUCUUGUCGAUGAGUCUGAGGAGCGCUCAAGGUGACCUGGUAAAGGAGGUGACACCAGCGCCCGGGGAGGAGCAUUCACUGUCCUUGUCAUUCUCUUGUGUGACUGACAGCCCUGGUAACGCAAGUUUGGGAGAAUCCUCUUUUUACAAAGAUCUUUUAGAGCACACAACAGAAACGUCCCUCUUGAAUAAUUUAGAAGGGACUGUUUCAGCAAACCAGUCCAGUGUAGAGGAAGUCUCUUGCAGUAGUCUGGAGGAGGAGAAUCUGACCGAGAAAGAGAUCCCCUCUGUCCCACUGAGGAGCACUCGAGAACUUGAGACCCUCUGUCAGACGUACCUCCAGUCCCUCAAGCACCUGGAAGAGGAAAUUGAAAGUCAAGGGCAUACGAAAAACAAGGAAAUCGAAGAGCUCAAGGAGUUGCUGAGUUCUUCGAGGGAGGAGCUCGACUACCUCAGGAAGCAGUACUUGUCAGAAAACGAACAGUGGCAGCAGAAGCUGACAGAUGUGACAGCGGAGAUGGAGUCCAAGUUGGCGGCUGAAAAGAGACACACGGAGCACCUCACACUUGAGCUCGAAGUGGCGCGGCUCCAGCUGCAGGGUCUGGACUUAAGCUCUCGGUCGCUGCUUGGCACCGACAUAGAAGAUGCUAUUCCGGGUGGAAACGAUAGCUGUGACAUAAGAGAAUCAGAAGAAUAUACUUCAGAACCUAAAGAGAGGACCCCAAAGCAUGAGAUUCACCAGGUUUGUGAAAAAGAUGUUCAGCAGGACCUCAGUCUAGAGAUGGAGAAAAUAACAAAGACUGGUGCAGCCAAACUUACAGAAGAAUGGUCCAGAGAGCAGUCCUCAGAAGCCAGCCCUGAGGCCCCAGUGGGAGAUCCAGCCCAGGGUUGUUCAGAGUGCAUUUCUGAACUGUACCUUCCUGGGCCUAAUGCUUCAGUGCCUAGGGAUGUUCUGGAGAAUCAGGUAACCAUUCAGAGUCUCGAGCUGAAAGUAAAAGAGACAUCAAAUGAGAAUUUGAGAUUACUUCAUGGCAUAGAGGAACGUGACCAAAAAGUUGACAACUUGCUAAAUGAAAUCAAAGAGUUAGAUUCAAAAUUCCAUUUACUGGAAGUACAACUAACUACCAAGAUUGAAGCAUGUGUGGCAUUGGAAAAAAUAGUUGAGGAACUUAAGAAAGAAAAAUUGGAUUUAAAUGAAAAAUUGGCAUCCUUUUCUUGUCAUAACCAGAGAGAAGAAAGUUCAGGAGGUCUCACUCCUAGCUUAGAAAUGGUCACAAGCAAAUUGCCACAUGAAGAUAUUGAAGAUGAUGUAGCCAAGGUGACUGACAACUGGAGAGAGAAAUGUCUCCAGGUGGAAAAUGAACUACAGAGGAUUCAAUCUGAGAAAGAUAGCAUGGAGCAUCACACCCUCUCUGCGGAAGCCAGCUUAGAGGCAGUUCAAACAGAGAAACUAUAUUUAGAAAAAGACAAUGAAAAUAAACAAACAGUUAUAACCUGUCUUGAGGAAGGACUCUCUGUGGUCACAAGUGAGAGAGAUCAGCUUCGUGGAGAGUUAGAUACUUUGUCAAAAGAAAAUCAAGAGCUAGAUCAGAUGUCUGAAAAGAUGAAGGAGAAAAUACGGGAGCUUGAAUCUCAUCAACGUGAGUGUCUGCAUCUCCAAGAGCAGCUUCAGAGUUUGGAAAAGGACUCACAGGCACUGUCUCUGGUAAGAAGUGAAUUGGAAAAACAAAUUGAACAACUGAAUAAAGAGAAAGACUCACUUGUAUGGGAAUCCGAAAGCCUGCAGACCAAACUGAGUGAAUCGGAGAAUGAAAAGCUGGCCAUCACCAAGGCUUUGGAGACUGCACUGAUGGAGAAGGGUGAGGUCGCAGUGAGGCUGAGCUCCACGCAAGAGGAAGUGCACCAGUUGAGAAAAGGCAUUGAGAAACUCAGGGUCCGCAUUGAGGCUGAUGAAAAGAAGCAGCUCCAUGUCUCAGAAAAACUGAAAGCAAGCGAGCGGAGGAAUGACUCGCUUCAGGACAAGGUUGAGACCCUUGAAAGGGAGUUGCAGAUGGCAGAAGAAAACCAGGAGCUGGUGAUUCUUGAUGCUGAGAAUUGCAAAGCAGAGGUGGAGACCCUAAAAACACAAAUAGAACUGAUGACUGAACGCCUGAAAGAUUUAGAGUCAGACCUUGUCACAAUACGGACUGAAAAAGAAAAUCUUGUGAAACAGCUACAAGAAAAACAAGGUCAGGCGUCUGAGUUAGAUACGCUGCUCUCUUCAUUGAAAAACCUAUUAGAAGAAAAGGAGCGAGAGAAAAUACAGAUGAAAGAAGAAUCUAAAGCUGCAGUGGAGAUGCUGCAAACACAAUUGAGAGAGCUAAGUGAGGAAGUAGCAGCCUUAUGUGAUGACCAGGAGACCUGGAAGGUCAAAGAACAGAGUCUGGACUCCCCAGUUGAGGAGGUACAACAGCUGAGAAAUAACCUUGGAAAGCUGAAAGUCUGCUUAGAUGCUGAUAAAAAGCAGCAGCUCUGUAUCUUAGAAAAACUGAAGGAAAGUCAGCAUCAGGCAGAUUUCCUUAAGGAUACAGUUGAGAACCUUGAAAGAGAACUCGAGCUAUCAGGAAAAAACCAAGAGCAUGUGACUCUUGAGGCUGAGAAGUCCAAAGCAGAAGUGGAGACCCUGAAAACAACAAUGCAGGAGAUGGACCAAAAUCUGAGAGGUUUGCAAUUAGAUCUUGUCAAUAUAAGAUCAGAAAAAGAAGAUCUGAGUAAAGAAUUACAAAAAGAGCAGAGUCGAGUGUCUGAAUUAGAAACAUUAAAUUCUUCAUUUGAAAAUAUGUUGCGGGAAAAAGAGCAAGAAAAAGUACAGAUGCAGGAAGAAUCUAAAGCUGCAGUGGAGAUGCUGCAAAAAGAAUUAGAAGAGCUAAACGAGAAAAUGGCAGCCUUGGGUAAUGACCAAGAGACCUGGAAGGUCAAAGAACAGAGCCUGAGUAGUCAGGUAGAUUCCCUUGAACAUGAGAAGGCUCAGCUGCUGCAGGGCCUUGAUGAUGCCAAAAGUAAUUACAUGAUUUUGCAGUCUUCUGUGAAUGACCUCAUUCAAAAAGUUGAAGAUGGCAAACAGAAACUAGAGAAAAAGGAUGAAGAAAUCAGCAUACUAAAAAGUCAGACUCGGGACCAAGAGCAGCUUGUCUCUAAACUGUCCCAGAUGGAAGGAGAACAGCAACUUUGGAAGAAGCAAAAGGCAGACCUGGAAAAUCUGAUGGUGGAAUUGGAGCAGAAGAUUCAGGUGCUGCAAUCCAAAAAUGAUGCUUUACAGGACACCUUAGAAGCUCUGCAGAAUUCUUACAGGAAUCUGGAGAAAGAGCUUGAAUUGACAAAUUUGGAAAAAACGUCCUUUGUUGAAAAAGUAAACACAAUGACUGUGAAGGAAACUGAGCUUCAGAAGGAAAUGCAUGCAAUGAUACAAAAAACGGCGGAACUGAAAGAAGAAUUUAGUGGGGAGAAAAACAGGCUAACGGAAGAAUUAAAUUUAAUGUUGGAAGAAGUAAAAAGCAGCAAAGGUCAACUGAAUGAGCUCAUGCUAGAAAAUAGUGAAUUGAAGAAGAGUUUGGAUUGUGUACACAAAGACCAUAUGGAAGAACAAGGGAAAAUGAGAGGAGAAAUAGCUGAAUAUCAGCUACGGCUUCAGGAAGCUGAAAACAAACAUCAGGCUUUGCUUCUGGAUACAAACAAACAGCAUGAAAUGGAAAUCCAGACAUAUCGAGAGAAACUGACUUCUAAAGAGGAAUGUCUCAGCUCACAGAAGGUGGAGAUAGACCUCUUAAAGUCCAGUAAAGAAGAACUCAAUAAUUCUUUGAAAGCGACCACUGAGAUUUUAGAAGAAUUGAAGAAAACCAAGAUGGAAAAUCUAAAACAUGCAGAUAAAUUGAAGAAGGAAAACGAUCGUGCCCAGAGUAAAAUAAAGUUGUUGAUGAAAUCCUGUAAACAGCUGGAAGAGGAAAAGGUGAUGUUGCAGAAAGAACUGUCUCAUCUUGAAGCUGCACAGGAGAAACAGAGAGCAGAUACCGUUGUAGAUGCUAAUGUCGACGAAUUAAUAACUGAAAUGAAAGAACUGAAAGAAUCCCUUGAAGAAAAAACCAAGGAGGCAGACGAAUACCUGGAUAAAUACUGUUCCCUGCUUAUAAGCCAUGAGAAGUUAGAGAAAGCCAAAGAGAUGUUAGAAACACAAGUUGCUCGUUUGAGUUCACAACAAUCUAAACUUAAUCUUCGGAGUUCUCCUUUGGUGAAUUCGGUUGCUCCAGGACCAUCCCCAGUCCCUUCUGCCACUGAAAAGAAGUUACCAUCUGGCCAAAAUAAAUCUUCAGGCAAAAGGCAAAGGUCCAGUGGGAUUCGGGAAGAUGGGGGAGAAACCACACCCUCUACACCAGAGACAUUUUCCAAAAAAAGCAGGAAAGCCAUCAAAAGUGGUACUCACCCUCCAGAGGAUGCAGAAGAUGCUGAAUUUGAGCCAGAGGGGCUUCCAGAAGUUGUAAAGAAAGGGUUUGCCGAUAUCCCAACCGGAAAGACUAGCCCGUACAUCCUGCGGAGGACAACCAUGGCAACCAGGACCAGCCCCCGCCUUGCUGCCCAGAAGUUAGCAGCAUCCCCGCUAAGUCUCGACAAAGAAAAUCUCACCGAGACCUCCAAACCAACAGCUGGUGGCAGCAGAUCCCAAAAGGUCAAGGUUUCUCAGCAGAGCCCAGUGGAUUCAGGCACUACCUUCCGAGAUCCCACUGCCAGAUCUCUCUCCAUCAGUAAUCUUCCUGAGAGAAGUCCAGCGGGCAGCCCCAGGGAGGGCCUGAGAGCCAAGCGAGGCCACCACGCCCCCAGCCCAGAAGCCAGCCUGCAGUCCAAGGGCAGUGAGAACUGUAGGGUCCAGUGA
rnacentral:lncRNA from 1 species